rnacentral:rRNA from 1 species
AGCGAACGCUGGCGGCAGGCCUAACACAUGCAAGUCGAACGAAGUCUUCGGACUUAGUGGCGGACGGGAGAGUAACACGUGGGAACGUACCUUUUGGUUCGGAACAACUCAGGGAAACUUGAGCUAAUACCGGAUGAGCCCUUAGGGGGAAAGAUUUAUCGCCGAAAGAGCGGCCCGCGUUAGAUUAGCUAGUUGGUGAGGUAAAGGCUCACCAAGGCUACGAUCUAUAGCUGGUCUGAGAGGAUGAUCAGCCACACUGGGACUGAGACACGGCCCAGACUCCUACGGGAGGCAGCAGUGGGGAAUCUUGCGCAAUGGGCGAAAGCCUGACGCAGCCAUGCCGCGUGAAUGAUGAAGGUCUUAGGAUUGUAAAAUUCUUUUACCAGGGACGAUAAUGACGGUACCUGGAGAAAAAGCCCCGGCUAACUUCGUGCCAGCCGCCGCGGUAAGAC